rnacentral:rRNA from 1 species
UGGGGAAUAUUGCACAAUGGGCGCAAGCCUGAUGCAGCCAUGCCGCGUGUGUGAAGAAGGCCUUCGGGUUGUAAAGCACUUUCAGCGGGGAGGAAGGCGUUAAGGUUAAUAACCUUGGCGAUUGACGUUACCCGCAGAAGAAGCACCGGCUAACUCCGUGCCAGCAGCCGCGGUAAUACGGAGGGUGCAAGCGUUAAUCGGAAUUACUGGGCGUAAAGCGCACGCAGGCGGUCUGUCAAGUCGGAUGUGAAAUCCCCGGGCUCAACCUGGGAACUGCAUUCGAAACUGGCAGGCUAGAGUCUUGUAGAGGGGGGUAGAAUUCCAGGUGUAGCGGUGUAAUGCGUAGAGAUCUGGAGGAAUACCGGUGGCGAAGGCGGCCCCCUGGACAAAGACUGACGCUCAGGUGCGAAAGCGUGGGGAGCAAACAGG